rnacentral:rRNA from 1 species
GUGGGGAAUAUUGGACAAUGGGCGAAAGCCUGAUCCAGCCAUGCCGCGUGCAGGAUGAAGGCCUUCGGGUUGUAAACUGCUUUUGUACGGAACGAAAAGACUCCUUCUAAUAAAGGGGGUCCAUGACGGUACCGUAAGAAUAAGCACCGGCUAACUACGUGCCAGCAGCCGCGGUAAUACGUAGGGUGCAAGCGUUAAUCGGAAUUACUGGGCGUAAAGCGUGCGCAGGCGGUUAUAUAAGACAGAUGUGAAAUCCCCGGGCUCAACCUGGGAACUGCAUUUGUGACUGUAUAGCUAGAGUACGGUAGAGGGGGAUGGAAUUCCGCGUGUAGCAGUGAAAUGCGUAGAUAUGCGGAGGAACACCGAUGGCGAAGGCAAUCCCCUGGGCCUGCACUGACGCUCAUGCACGAAAGCGUGGGGAGCAAACAGGAUUAGAUACCCUUGUAGUCC